CUGGUCCUAAGAGCGACGCGUCCCCCGGGUCUUAGCGCCCGCCGCGCCACCGCCCGUCCACCCGGCCGGCUCAGCCCUUCUGCCUCCGCCGGCGGCAGCAGCCACCGCAGCCGCUUGCCUCAAGCUCAAGAUUUCUUUGCUUCCUUGCACAAAAAUGACUUUCUGAUGAAGACGCAAAGGGAAGCAAGAGCGGUCAUGCAUCCCUCUCCAGCAAAGCGGGCACCUUGUUUUGAACACCCGGAGCAGCCAGUGGAGAGUGGUGAGAGUGAAAACCACAAGAGGGGAUGGGAACUAGGACUUGGUGCACGGGAGGAAAUGCAGAUGAAGAGAGGAGAGAAACAGAGAAGAGGAUGGAGAUGGAAGAGAAACAUAGGACAGAAAUAGCAGUAGUGCUAAAGGUGAGACUAUUGUCCCACUGAGUGAUACAGAAUGCAACUUAAAUAGUAGUAAUAUUGAUGACAACUAAAAGUUUAGUUAUUACUUACAGGCCAUAUCCCAGGGUGGAUAAAAA